GAAGAUGAUAAGAGAUUCAAGGGCAGAAGCUCAUGUUUCAUCCAAUAGCAGUGACCAUUCACCUGGACGAUGGUCCGACACUGUUCAGAGCUUGCCUAGAGAAGAACAUUUGAGCAUUUGACUGGUUAGUGAACAUAGAUGCUUCAGUUUAAGUAUUUUGAUUUUAUUUGAGUUUUUUUUUUUCAAAUUAAGUCUUUUGAUUCUUCAACUAGGUUUUGUAGAGUCUACUGAUGUAAAGUAUCCGCUUCUAUUCUUAAUUUCUUAGUUUAGUUAGCUGGAGAUCAUAUAAGUUUGGUUGCUCAAUCUGCAAUUAGACAAUUGGUAGGGUCUUUGAUUUAUUCAUUGGGUGCAGUUCUUGUAUUCAGCUGAAUAGUUUCAUUUCCCA
rnacentral:misc_RNA from 1 species